rnacentral:rRNA from 1 species
GUGGGGAAUAUUGCACAAUGGGGGAAACCCUGAUGCAGCCAUGCCGCGUGUGUGAAGAAGGCCUUCGGGUUGUAAAGCACUUUCAGCGAGGAGGAAAGGUUGGUAGCUAAUAACUGCCAGCUGUGACGUUACUCGCAGAAGAAGCACCGGCUAACUCCGUGCCAGCAGCCGCGGUAAUACGGAGGGUGCAAGCGUUAAUCGGAAUUACUGGGCGUAAAGCGCACGCAGGCGGUUGGAUAAGUUAGAUGUGAAAGCCCCGGGCUCAACCUGGGAAUUGCAUUUAAAACUGUCCAGCUAGAGUCUUGUAGAGGGGGGUAGAAUUCCAGGUGUAGCGGUGAAAUGCGUAGAGAUCUGGAGGAAUACCGGUGGCGAAGGCGGCCCCCUGGACAAAGACUGACGCUCAGGUGCGAAAGCGUGGGGAGCAA